rnacentral:pre_miRNA from 1 species
ACGACGAUUAAUUAGUUGUAGUAAUCAUGAAUUAUUGUAACUAAUUUGUCGGUACC